rnacentral:rRNA from 1 species
GACGAACGCUGGCGGCGUGCCUAAUACAUGCAAGUCGAGCGGACUGAAUGGGAGCUUGCUCUUGUUCGGUCAGCGGCGGACGGGUGAGUAACACGUGGGCAACCUGCCCGCAAGACCGGGAUAACUCCGGGAAACCGGAGCUAAUACCGGAUAACACCGAAGACCGCAUGGUCUUUGGUUGAAAUGCGGCGCAAGCUGCCACUUGCGGAUGGGCCCGCGGCGCAUUAGCUAGUUGGUGAGGUAACGGCUCACCAAGGCGACGAUGCGUAGCCGGCCUGAGAGGGUGACCGGCCAAACUGGGACUGGGACACGGCCCAGAAUCCUACGGGAGGCAGCAGUAGGGAAUCUUCCGCAAUGGGCGAAAGCCUGACGGAGCGACGCCGCGUGAGCGAAGAAGGCCUUCGGGUCGUAAAGCUCUGUUGUGAGGGACGAAGGAGCGCCGUUUGAAGAAGGCGGCGCGGUGACGGUACCUCACGAGGAAGCCCCGGCUAACUACGUG